AGCAAGGUCGUGGUGUCAUGUUUCGACGUGGGAUUGUCUCGCUUCCCUCGGGGCUUAAUCUGUCUUCUCAACACGUAAAGGAGAUUGUGGCACGCGUCUCUCACAUGACAAAAGCCGGCGAUAUCACUAUUCAUUAAAUUAUUCAAUUAUCAAAGCUUCCAAAUAUAAAAUAGCACCACAGAUCCCUGAGAGGGCAAAGCAAGCUGCCGCUUCUUCUUCUUCUUCUUCCUCUCCUUCAUAGUGCUCGUUAGAACGAUCCGAUUAAGUGCCUCUGGUUACUCUACGUUAAGUGUGAAUCCAAUUUUGAUCAGAGAGAGAGAGAGAGAGAAUGGGAGGGUAUGCUUUGGGGUCGGCUUUUGAUUUGAAAUCAGGGCAGACGAUAAUGGUGGAUUCUUUCUACUUGGGCACUCUACCAUUUAUGUUUCUCAAUUCUCCUCUAUUCCUCUUCAUCUCCUGGUACGUUUGCUUUCUUUUAGUAUCUACAGAAUCUAUUUCAUCAUCUUCAUUUUUUCAAAAAAAUUCUUUCUCUUUUUGGAGCUGGGUUUUGGAUGCAAGAUUUUUAUUAUGUGUCCCCUGAAAUUUAAUGAGGAAAUCCCUUGCCAUGAUGUUCUGUAUGUGAAAAGUCUACUCCCAAGCUUAGAUCUUUCAUGAAAAGUCUACUUCCUUGCCAUAAUAAAUUUAUACAUAAUUAUCAAAUCGAUAAAAGAAAAUGGAACGAUUUUAAAAUUACUAAAAAAAUACAACUGUUUAGUAACUAUAUAUAAAAAUAUAAAAAAUCAAAUUAUAAUAUUUUCAUUGAAUAAAGAUUAUAAAUUGUAAUUUGAUUUUUAAAGUUUACAAUUCAAUCUUUAAAUGUUCAUAGAGAAAAGGAAAAUAAAACAAUAAAUAGAAAAAUGAAAAAUAUUGGAGUCUGUCAGGCAACCGUGCGACCACCUCAGCCACGUAUGGCUGAGAACGAUCCUCUACAAGCUCACGGACCCAAAGAAUCCUUAGCCGUUAAUCACGCUCUGAUCGUACGGCCAUGCUUCAUCUUCCAGACUGUGGUUCCUGUCUCCUUUGUGCUAAAGGACACAGAAGUACGAUCCUAUAGAACAGAUCCUGUUCAAGUAAGGUCGUGCACUCGUUUCCUAACCUCAGCAAUUAGAUGGGCUGCUUCGUUCUUUCAACCUUUCGAUGUGGGAUUGUAACUCGCCUCCUUCAGGGCUUAAAUCGUCUUUUCGACACGUAAAGGCGAUUGUGGCACGCGUCUCUCACAUGACAAAAGCCGGCGAUAUCACUAUUUGAUAAAUAAUUCAAUUAUCAAGCUUCCAAAAAUAAAAUAGCAGCACAGAUUCCCAGUCCCGAGAGAGCAAGCAAGCUGGUUCUGGAGAUAUUCUUCUUCUUCUUCUUCGUGCUUGUUAGAGAGAUCCGAUUAGGUUCCUCUGGUUACUCUAAGGUUAAGCGUGAAUCAAAUUUAGAUCACCGACACAGAGAGAGAGAGAGAAUGGGAGGGUAUGCUUUGGGGUCGGCUUUUGAUUUGAAAUCAGGGCAGAUGAUAAUGGUGGCUUUAUUAUUAAUGGUGGGUUCUUUCUACUUGGGCACUCUAUUUGGUAACAAUGCUCCCGUUUAUGUCCCUCAAUUCUCCUCUAAUUCCUCUUCCUCUUCAUCUCCUGGUAAGUUUGCUUUCUUUUAGUAUGUACAGAAUCUAUUUCAUGAUCUUCCUUUCUUUUACAUAUUUUCUUUCUCUUUUUUGAGCUGGGUCUCGGAUGGAAGAUUUUAUUAUUAUAAUUAUUUGCUUUAGUAUAGUUUAUUACUUUACUAGUCUAACUUGAGCUCAAUUUUAUUUAUUUUCUUUCUAUGUUUGGUAUUGCAAUUUGUUGUUUAAUUGGAAAUUCUAGUUUACUUCGUUUCUAUUUUCAAUAACCCAUUGCAAUUGUAGAGAAUGUCAAAGUUAUAGGGUAGGGAAAUUUUGUGGAUCGCAUGGGCAGCUCUCCCUGCCCUUUGUCACUGCUUUCGUAUUGCUAAUAACCAUUUACAUGCACUUAUUAAUACUGAAGAUUACUUCUAGUAUUAGAAUAAUGAUUUGGAACAUCAUUGAUUAAAAUCUUUAAGAGUGAUAGGAAUGCUGGAGCAGUUUCAAUAAGAUUCUAGAAAUCUGGCAUUGUCCUUCACCACAAAGAUUAUUAAUGGAAAUGCAUUUGGAAUUGAUUGACCCUUUCUUAGCUGAGAGUAUUAAACAAAAUAGCUUACCACCAAUGAAAUUGAAUGAGAUCACCUUGAAGGGGGAGCUUUAUGUAAUUCUUUUUUUGGAUCAAGCAUUAUUUGAUCAUUAUAUAGGCAUUUGAUUUGUGAUUAAAUGAAGUUUUUGAGUCUCAUUGCAUUAGUUGACUUGCAGACAUUUUUUCUGGGAUCAGCUUUUAUACUUUCGUAUUCCAGAUUUGCCAGUCCUAUGUAGCUUCAGAUAUCAAACUACAUUUUACACAUGCACAUAUAUUAUUAUUCAAUACCAGGUUAGUUAAUGUUGAUAAAAACAUGUCACUUAGAAUAUGCACGUGAAUUGUUUUAUGGGUCUUUUCUUUUCACCUAAACCCCAAUUCAUUUCUGUUUCUCAUGAAUGAUAUUUCCCUUGAUUUCAGUUAAAAAAAAAAAAAAAAAACUGCAAUUUAAUUUGUUUUGGCCUCGUAGGAAACUGUGGCCAUUGAUUGUUAUGAAGUUCUUCACUUUAUGUGUAAUAUUGACUUUUUAACUUCUUUUGUGCUUACUGAAAUAGAUUAUCUUGGAAACUUUUAGAUAUGUUCACAUUUAGCAACAAAAUUGCUCGCUCUUAACUGAAAAUGGGAUGAAUAUAUGCCCCCUGAAGUUUAAUGAGUAAAUCCCUUGCCAUAAUGUUCUCCAAGUGAAAAGUCUACUCCCAAGCUUAGAUAUUUCUUGAAAAGAAGAGCUGGAGAGGCGUUGCCCUCCACCUGAAAAGCGUCUACUUCUGCUUGGUGCCAACCCAGAAGAUUAUAAAUUGCCAACCAGCAGGAAUCAUGUUUGGCAAAGCAAAGUGAAUCAGACACGUCUUGCUGCAGUCAAAGGAAUUGGGUGCAUGAAAAGGAUCAAUUAUGGUGGUUCGCAGGAGGCGAUAAUCAUUUCAAAAUUCAAAGCACGGGGCACCUGAGUACAUUCGGAGGCUCAAAUUUCGACAUUGCGAACGAAGAGAAAGAGUUGAAAAUAAUUUUUCCUAGGUGUCUUCUUGUUUAGAUGAUUCUUGAGGAAGAUCUACAAACAAGCGUAUAUGAAUUUGUCUUGGGCGCAAAGACAAUUGCAAAGGGUCCACAAAUCACGAUGCAGAUUGCAAUUUCUUCAAUUGGAUGUUUAAGGUUUUGAUUCAAUUUCUUCAAUUGGGUGUUUGAGGUUUUGAUUUUUGGAUUGGCUUAUGGAUUCCUUGUGUUUGCUAUGUUGAUUUUGAAUGAAUUUUUUUACUUCAGUUCCUAUUUUUGGAACAUUUUAUUUCUUAUUGUUUGAUUUAGAAAAUGUAUAUGUGAUUUUAUUGUUUGAUUUAGAUGUAUAUGUGAUUUUUUGUUCUCGAAGGUAUUGAUUUUUAUUUUGGACAAAAUUUAUUGCUGUUUUAUGCUGUUGUAAAGAAUAAACAAAUCAAACCGAAAAUAUUUAAUUCCAUACGAUUUGAUUUUUUUCGUAUUUCAAUUCAUUUUCUAAUAGUAUUUUUUAUCAAUUUGAUUUUUUAAUUUUAAUUUUUCAACCAACCUAACCUGACCUAAUCAUCUCCAUAUUUCAAUUCGUUUUCUAAUAGUAUUUUUUAUCAAUUCGAUUUUUUAUUUUUCAAAUUUCGAGUCGACCUUACCUAAUUAUCUCUCCACAUAUAAUUAAAGAGAGUCCUCAAAACAAUAUGCAACUCUAAAUGAUUCCUUUCAAACUCACUAAAACGGUGAUGUCCAACAUAACCAAACUCUUAAAAACCCUACAUCUAAGGUACAAUCAGUUCGGACUGCAGUUGCUUCAAUUCCAAAACGAAACAAAAAUAAGAAUCACCUUUGGGAGAAGAAGACAUGUUUGUAUUUCCAAGGGAAGGAGACAACCAGAGAAGCUAGCAAACACGCAGCCCAACAUCCAGAACUUCAACAACCCCAGCUGACAGCAGAUGUUUCAUUAGUCGUCACAGUUCCAACCUGCAUUUAGAAUUGAAAAGGAAACAGAAUGGUAUUUAACUAAUUAUACGUAAUGUGAGACCAAUCGCUUGCUUGGGUAGUGAAAUAACAUCAAAUGACAAAACCAGCUCAAAGGUAUUAAGAUAUGUAAGAAAAAGAUCAUCUAAGUUACCUCCAAAUGCACUCCGGUGCCCCGUGCUUUGAAUUUUGAAAUGAUCAUCGCCUCCUGCAAACCACCGUAAUUGAUCCUUUUCAUGCACCCAAUUCCUUUGACUGCAGCAAGACGUGUCUGAUUCACAUUGCUUUGCCAAACAUGAUUCCUGCUGGUUGGCAAUUUAUAAUCUUCUGGGGUGGCACCGAGCACAAGUAGACGCUUUUCAGGUGGAGGGCAACGCCUCUCCAGCUCUUCUUUUCAAGAAAGAUCUAAGCUUGGGAGUAGACUUUUCACUUGGAGAACAUCAUGGCAAGGGAUUUACUCAUUAAACUUCAUGGGGCAUAUAUUCAUCCCAUUUUCAGUUAAAAGCGAGCAAUUUUGUUGCUAAAUGUGAACAUAUCUGAAAGUUUCCAAGAUAAAAUAUUUCAGUAAGCACAAAAGAAGUUAAAAGUCAAUAUUACACAUAAAGUGAAGAACUUCAUAACAAUCAUUCCUAGGAGGCCAAAACAAAUUAAAUUGCAGUUUUUUUAUUCUAACUGAAAUCAAGGGAAAUAUCAUUCAUGAGAAACAGAAAUGAAUUGGGGUUUAGGUGAAAAGAAAAGACCCAUAAAACAAUUCACGUGCACAUUCUAAGUGACAUGUUUUUAUCAACAUUAACUAACCUGGUAUUGAAUAAUAAUAUAUGUGCAUGUGUAAAAUGUAGUUUGAUAUCUGAAGCUGCAUAGGACUGGCAAAUCUGGAAUACGAAAGUAUAAAAGCUGAUCCCAGAAAAAAUGUCUGCAAGUCAACUAACGCAAUGAGACUCAAAAACUUCAUUUAAUCACAAAUCAAAUAAUGCUUGAUCCAAAAAAAGAAUUACAUAAAGCUCCCCUUCAAGGUGAUCUCAUUCAAUUUCAUUGGUGGUAAGCUAUUUUGUUCAAUACUCUCAGCUAAGAAAAGGUCAAUCAAUUCCAAAUGCAUUUCCAUUAAUAAUCUUUGUUGUGAAGGACAAUGCCAGAUUUCUAGAAUCUUAUUGAAACUGCUCCAGCAUUCCUAUCACUCUUAAAGAUUUUAAUCAAUGAUGUCCCAAAUCAUUAUUCUAAUACUAGAAGUAAUCUUCAGUAUUAAUAAGUGCAUGUAAAUGGUUAUUAGCAAUACGAAAGCAGUGACAAAGGGCAGGGAGAGCUGCCCAUGCGAUCCACAAAAUUUCCCUACCCUAUAACUUUGACAUUCUCUACAAUUGCAAUGGGUUAUUGAAAAUAGAAACGAAGUAAACUAGAAUUUCCAAUUAAUCAGCAAAUUGCAAUACCAAACAUAGAAAGAAAAUAAAUAAAAUUGAGAUCAAGUUAGACUAGUAAAGUAAUCAACUAUACUAAAGCAAAUAAUUAUAACAAUAAAAUCUUCCAUCCGAAACCCAGCUCCAAAAAGAGAAAGAAUAUAUGUAAAAGAAAGGAAGAUCGUGAAAUAGAUUCUGUACAUACUAAAAGAAAGCAAACUUACCAGGAGAUGAAGAGGAAGAGGAAUUAGAGGAGAAUUGAGAGACAUAAACGGGAGCAUUGUUGCCAAAUAGAGUGCCCAAGUAGAAAGAACCCACCAUUAAUAAUAAAGCCACCAUUAUCAUCUGCCCUGAUUUCAAAUCAAAAGCCGACCCCAAAGCAUACCCUCCCAUUCUCUCCCUCUCUCUGUCGGUGAUCUAAAUUUGAUUCACGUUUAACCUUAGAGUAACCAGAGGAACCUAAUCGGAUCUCUCUAACAAGCACGAAGAAGAAGAAGAAUAUCUCCCGAACCAGCUUGCUUGCUCUCUCGGGACUGGGAAUCUGUGCUGCUAUUUUAUUUUUGGAAGCUUGAUAAUUGAAUUAUUUAACAAAUAGUGAUAUCGCCGGCUUUUGUCAUGUGAGAGACGCGUGCCACAAUCGCCUUUGCGUGUCGAAAAGACGAUUUAAUCCCUGAAGGAGGCGAGUUACAAUCCCACAUCGAAAAGUUGAAACAACGAAGCGGUCCAUCUAAUUGCUGAGGUAAGGAAACCGGUGCACGACCUUACUUGAACAGGAUCUGUUCUAUAGGAUCGUACCUCUGUGUCCUUUAGCACGAAGGAGACAGGAACCACAGUCUGGAAGAUGAAGCAUGGCCGUACGAUCAGAGCGUGAUUAACGGCUAAGGAUCCUUUGAGGUCCGUGAGCUGUAGAGGAUCGUUCUCAGCCACACGUGGCUGGGGUGGUCGCACGGUUGCCUGACAGACUCAAAUAUUUU